UACGAAGGGGGCUAGCGUUGCUCGGAAUUACUGGGCGUAAAGGGCGCGUAGGCGGCGCGGUAAGUCACUUGUGAAAUCUCUGAGCUUAACUCGGAACGGCCAAGUGAUACUGCAGUGCUAGAGUGCAGAAAGGGCAAUCGGAAUUCUUGGUGUAGCGGUGAAAUGCGUAGAUAUCAAGAGGAACACCUGAGGCGAAGGCGGGUUGCUAGGCUGACACUGACGCUGAGUGCGCGAAAGCCAGGGGAGCAAACGGG
rnacentral:rRNA from 1 species